AUACGUAGGUGGCAAGCGUUGUCCGGAUUUAUUGGGCGUAAAGCGAGUGCAGGCGGUUCAAUAAGUCUGAUGUGAAAGCCUUCGGCUCAACCGGAGAAUUGCAUCAGAAACUGUUGAACUUGAGUGCAGAAGAGGAGAGUGGAACUCCAUGUGUAGCGGUGGAAUGCGUAGAUAUAUGGAAGAACACCAGUGGCGAAGGCGGCUCUCUGGUCUGCAACUGACGCUGAGGCUCGAAAGCAUGGGUAGC
rnacentral:rRNA from 1 species